UACGUAGGGUGCAAGCGUUGUCCGGAAUUAUUGGGCGUAAAGAGCUCGUAGGCGGUUCGGUAAGUCGGAUGUGAAAUCUCCAGGCUCAACCUGGAGGGGUCAUUCGAUACUGCCGUGACUAGAGUUCGGUAGGGGAGUGUGGAAUUCCUGGUGGAGCGGUGAAAUGCGCAGAUAUCAGGAGGAACACCCGUAGCGAAGGCGGCACUCUGGGCCGAUACUGACACUGAGGAGCGAAAGCGUGGGGAGCGAACAGG
rnacentral:rRNA from 1 species